rnacentral:rRNA from 1 species
AAUGAACGCUGGCGGCAGGCCCAACAUAUGCAAGUCGAACGGAUCCUUCGGGAUUAGUGGCGGACGGGUGAGUAACGCGUGGGAACAUACCCAAAGGUACGGAAUAGCCUCGGGAAACUGGGAGUAAUACCGUAUGUGCUCGAAAGAGGAAAGAUUUAUCGCCUUUGGAUUGGCCCGCGUUGGAUUAGGUAGUUGGUGGGGUAAUGGCCUACCAAGCCGACGAUCCAUAGCUGGUUUGAGAGGAUGAUCCGCCACACUGGGACUGAGACACGGCCCAGACUCCUACGGGAGGCAGCAGGGGGGAAUCUUAGACAAUGUGGGAAACCCUGAUCUAGCCAUGCCGCGUGAUCGAUGAAGGCCUUAGGGUUGUAAAGAUCUUUCAGGUGGGAAGAUAAUGACUGUACCACCAGAAGAAGCCCCGGCUAACUCCGUGCCAGCAGCCGCCGUAA